AUUGAACGCUGGCGGCAGGCCUAACACAUGCAAGUCGAACGAGUGGCGGACGGGUGAGUAAUGUAUGGGAAACGGCCCGAUGGAGGGGGAUCACUACUGGAAACGGAAGCCACAACCGUCUACAAUCGGAUGGGCCCAGCUGGGAUUAGCUAGGAGGUGGGGUAACGGCUCACCACGGUGCCGAUCCCGCCCUGGUCUGAGAGGAUGACCAGCCACACUGGAACGUAGACACGGCCCAGACUCCUACGGGAGGCAGCAGUGGGGAAGCUUCGGCAAUGGACGAAAGUCUGACGGAGCAAUGCCGCGUGAGUGAAGAAGGUUUUCGGGUUGUAAAGCUCUGUUGGUAGAGAAGCGGUAUCCAACCAGAAAGCCACGGCUAACUACGUGCCAGCAGCCGCGGUAAUAC
rnacentral:rRNA from 1 species